UUUGAAGUGCCAUGGAGAACUCGUGGAAAUGAGCUCGCACUACGUCAUCAC
rnacentral:tRNA from 1 species